CAAGCAUGGCCAGAUCAUUUGCGCUGGAUAUGCGAUAAAUACAACUAUUUUCAGUCCAGAGGAAUCGCCACCCUUUAGUCUUCUUCAGUUCGAGAGCUUGUGUGAAAAGACACUUGUUCUCUGGCAUGAGAUGAUCAUUCACAAAAAAAGCUAAUUGGUCCGCUCUUUCAUUACCUGGAAUACCAACGUGGCUCGGGACCCAGCAGAUGCGUAUGGUGUGGUCUUCAGGAUCUGGAAUACGCCGCGUGGUCCCGGUCGCAGUUCGCGCAGUGGACUUUGGCGUUGCAGUCAUCGUCUGUGGAGUGUCUCGCGGUACCGCAC